GAGAGGAAACAAAAACAAUCGGCCGGGCGCCGCCAUCUUGGGUCCGUUCUCCACACCGCGCGAGUGAAUGGGUAGCGAUGAAAUUACCACAGCGGCGCAGCAAGACAGGGAGGGCCGUUCCGCGUUGCCAGCCGGAGCACAAUAAAGCCGGCCCUUUCCUCCUCCUCCUCGCCCCUUUCUGCUUCCUCCGGAGCGGCCCUGAGGGGGGAGAUCGGCUCGGCCCUUCCUUCGCGGCGAGGCUUCAACUUCGUCGCCGGGGGCGCAAAGUUGGGUCCAGCCGCCUCCCCGCCUGCCAGGAGCCCCGGGGGCCGGAGCCCGCAGCAGCCGCUCUCUCGCCGCCGGGGAAGAGGAGGUAGAAGGAGAAGAAGGCGCUCCUCACGCUCCUUUCGCUCGCCCCGCUCGCUGGCUCUCCUCGCCGGGGAGGCGUCGCGUGGGAGGCACGGAGAGAGGCGAGCGGGGAUUGACCAGGCUCCGUGCCCUCGCCCGCCUCGCUGCGGGUGUGAUUUCCGAGGGGGAGAGGAGGAGGAGAAGGGAGGAGAAGCAAAACAAAAGCCGAGUCGGAUCGUGCGCGGAGGGUCCUGCCUCUACGGCGACGGAGGGGGGGAGGAGGACAUUGCACGAGUCUGUGGGAAAUGGUGAGCCCUUGAAGAGUUGCAAGAGGAGAGGAAGAGGAGCGUGUUCUGAAGAGCAUUAACACUACAAGCCAAAGGAAGGGAAGGGAAUCUUCACACACACACACACACACACACCCCCCACCAGCCUGGCCUCUCAAGAAGACCGAGUUGCCCACCUCUGAUUGCCACGGUUGUAAACCACCGUUUCAUCUGCUUCGCCUCUUUGAUGCUUCAUGCACCGUUUAAAGGAAGGUUUUCUCGCAAGGCUUUCCAGAAGUUGUGCGUGGUGGGGUUUUGUUUAAAAGAACAGUGAAAAUAUAUAUAUAUAUUUGCAACAGUUGGAUGCAGCGUAACCCUUCCCACUGCUUCGUUGUGGUUUUAAUACCAAACAGGGGGUGUCUUGAACUAGAGACUUGAGGGGGGCCACGGAGGUUGCAGGGGGGGAUUCUCAAGAGUUUGAAAUUUUCCUUGGCUACACAGCGAGUGUCUGGAACGUGUGAUUUCUUCGCUCGAGGGGGGCAAAGCAAAGGAGAAGGGUGCAAAUGGAAAUGCGCGUCUUUCGUUGACUACAUAAGGAAGGAGCAGAGGUUGACCACAAUUUGUCGGACUGUGGAGAUUUGACAAGUUUUUUUUAUCUCUGUCCUCUUUUCCCGUGGGCUGCUCUCUGCAUUAUUAAUAGGAAACGUCAGUGUUUCACAUUCUGCUUGGUAUUUUUUUUUUAAUUAAUGGAUUAAUUUAUAUUACCCUUGUCAUUGAGGCUGUAGUGGGGUUGACACUUGAAACUGAGAUGGAACUAUUUCUCACCCAAACAUUACGUGCUGUAAAAGAUGUGUGAAGAUGAAAGUAUUGUUUACUAAUGUUUGUGCAUCUUGCCUGAUUCCCACAUCUAUGGCUGAUACCUUGCAGUUCUCAAAGUGAAGGGGUGGGAGAAAGUGCUCUUGAGUCGAUUAUUUGCCUAAGACUCGACUCUUUUACUGCUGACCUUUUAAACUGGGUACUUAACUGUGUUUUUAUGAAUUGAAUUUUGCCACCAUUUAUACAGAAGCCAAAUGACGUGUGUUUCCCCGAAUAUAUACGUCCCUUUAUUGCAAGGGUUAAAGAAAAGCUAAAUAGACUGCUAGAAGAGAAUCCACUUUUAUUCUUAUGUGCAAAUAUGUUGCUAUAGAAAAUAUCAAGGAGAAACGAGAAUUUUCAUCUUUGGAAGACCUAGGAUCCUGGAUAUAUAGAAUUCCUUUGUGUUGGUUCUGAUUGUUUGGAAAAUGGGAGCUGCUAGGAAGUUGGUGUUUGCUGUGUUUCUUAUCUCUUGUUCUUCAGGUGCCAUAUUAGGCAGAUCAGAGACGCAGGAGUGCAUUUUCUACAAUGGUAGC